GCUAAGCAGAGGGAGGAGGAGAACAGGAUCCUGUGUUAGAGCGGCAGAUGGAUUCCAUGGUGCCCACGCUGUACCCAGUAGGAGGUGACACAGGAACACAGACAUGGAUGGGCCUUACUGAAAUACGAGGCAGAGGAAACAAGGGCAGGGUGUGGUGCUGAGUUGUGGACCCAUUAGGGACCAGCUUUUUAUAACAGGCAGGCCAGCUGCUGGCUCCGCCUCAUUUCCUCCAAGAAGACUGGUGGGCACUGAAGAAACUUCAUCUUGAGUCAAUGGCAACGAUGGCCACUGAACAACCCUGCCCUUCACCUCAACUGCUACAAAGUAUUCCAGACCAUGGACAAGAGGACAGUGGAAUCAACUUUCCCCAUGUUGGGUCAAUGGUCAAAGAGGUACCAAGUUCCAUACAGCCUGGACUUCGAUGGAGCAACCAGAUACCCCAGGACUUGGCAGCAUCCCAGCUUUCUCAGGUCCUCCAAAGAUGGUCAACACCCUCCAUGUUAGCAGGAAGCAGUCUUGAGACUUCGACGCCCUUAUUCCUUAAUCUGCCAUGUCUAACACCCCACCUUUUUAAUAAUAAGUAAAGGUGGGAUUGAAAGGUUCAGGCAUUAUGCUGGCCUGCCCCUGUCACCUGGCAGAAUCCACUCAGGCAGCACCCUGGUCAUCCCAGGGUUCCAUGGGAACUAAGUCUGCACACAGGUAUAGAGGACCCCUUUAAAAGAUAGACCCCUGCCCACUUACACUCUCUUCUCUCUCUGCCUCUCUCUCUGCUUCUUCUCCUCUCUUCUAUUUCUCUCUCACUCACUCUCCAUGAAAUAAUAAACUGG
rnacentral:lncRNA from 1 species